AAACAGCAGAGAUCACUGUGGAGAGAAGAGAGCAGCAGAAAAAGAUGAUAAAGAGUGUGAAGUCUGUGGUGUUGUGGGGAGAGACUGACAUCAGAUCAGGAUGUUUGGUCUCAUCUGGACAACUCUGCUUUUCUCUGUGAGAGGCAACAAUGCUGACACAGGAAGGUCCUGUGCAGCAGUGUGGACCUCACAGUGCAGUACUUCCCUGGGCUGUUGCUGGUGUAUCUCAAAGUGUGAACGUCCUCUACACUAUCUUCAUGAUAUUCCUUUGGUAUGUUACUACUUCUGCUUCUGCUUUCUCUCUCUCCAAAGGAAAGCAAGAACAAAGGUGACACCAAAUCAAGAGGACAGAACUUACAUGUCUCUGCAGAAAACAGACAGAUCACCAGAGUAUGAUGUUAUUGGCCAAACUCAGGACUCUAGACGUGUUGAAGCUCCUUUGCCAUCAUUCAGUUUGUAUGGAUGUAUGGAUGC